rnacentral:lncRNA from 1 species
ACUCAAUUGUGAGCCUCUCUCCUAAUUGUGUCUCACAGAUGCAUAGUGAGGAGGUUAUUCAGCUUGUAUUUACAUCAUUACCCAUCUACCAUCAGAGUGUAUUGCUAACUGGUUCUCCUUACAAAUGCUUGUUGUGUUUGUUUUGUGUUUUUAAUUUUAUGUUCCACUGCUUGUCUACUUUUUCAUUGUUUUUAAUCCAAACUUCUACUUCAGCCUCUGCUCAUGAAGUCUCCCUCUCCCGAGUCCUUUGGGCUGCAAUAAUCAGACUCAAGCUGAGUGGAGACACACACUGAACAGAUGACAUGCCAGCCAAACUUGCCCCAAAAGUUGGGGAGGGAAAUGGUGCUCAACUGAAGGCAGCUGCUCUUGGGAGAGUCUUGACAGAGACCUCUGCAGCGAUAGUGCCUGGCAUCAGUGAUUGACGGGGAGCCAUCUGAUCAACUUUUGUUUCUGAAGGAAAACCCUGAGGAAACUCACUACCAUCCUCAGUGGCUGGUGGAUGGAUAAAGAGGUGGAAAGCAAGUUGAGUGAGCAGAAACUAUGAAGAGCCAUGAGCAGUUCCGGGGGAGCAGCUGCGAGCAUCAUGGAAGGCCUCUGCCCUGUCGGAGAAGCCGGGAUCCUCUUCAGCUUGGACACUACAUCAGUGACACUGGCAUCUCCCCCAUGCCAGGUGUCCAGAUUAAUCAGGAGACCAUUGUAGAUGAGGCAUCGCUCUAGGACCUGGUACCUGCUUGUGCUUUGUCCAGAACUGAGCUCAGAACUUGCCCAGUUCUACCACAUGUCUGAAAACUUCUUCCUUCCUGUCCACAUCAUUCCGUAGUUGUCUCUGAGAUAUGUCUAUUUACAAGAAGAUACUCUGAAAAGGGCCAAGUCAGAAAUGACAUCUUGAUGUAUCCAGCCAGCCAGCAGUCUCAGUAGCCACUAAAAAAUUAGGUCAGUAGUUAAAAAUACUUUUACAAAGAAAAGCCCAGGCUUGGAUAGUUUUAUAAGAAUUACACCAAACAUUCAAGGAAUAGUUAAUAGUUCAUUCAAAUCUUAUACAAAUUCUUUCAGAUAAUAAAAAAAGAAAAAGAAAAACUCCUUAGCAAAUAUGUGAGAUAAAUAUAAACACAAUAUGAAAUUCACAUAGAGAUAAUUCGAGACAGGAAAAAUGAUUUACUCAUGAACAUAAAUGCAAAAAUCCUUUAAAAAUAUUGGCAAACUGAAUCCAAGAAUAUGUGAAAAAUAUAACACACCAUGAUAAAUUUGCAUCAUCCUAUAAAUGCAAAAUAUAUUUUGUAUUAAAAAAUCUAGUUUAGUUCAUGAAAUUAACAAAUUAAAUAAUUAUUUCAAUACUAUUAGAUAAACUUUAAACAUAUGUGGUCUCCUAGCUCUCCAAAGACCUCAUACUAAAAUAAUAGUUCUUCUUAAUAGAAGGAGCAAGGAAUUAUUGUUCCCAAAUGUUUUUACACACCUCCCCGCUAUGAGAGAAGUGUACUUCCUGGUUGGCUGACAUCCAGCCUGGGCCAUGUGACUUGCUCUGCCAGGAGUAGCAGGAAAGCAGAAAUGAUGUCUAUUAAGUCUUGAAAGAGGCUUUAAGAGCUAAUACACUCUUCUCCCACAUCCCCUCCUCAAGGGUCUCACUCCUAAAUAAAUGUUACUUUUUCAACUUCCAUCCCAGAAUAAAAAAGCAUGUGGAGCAGAAAUGGAACAGAGUAGAGGCCAGCUCAGUUUCCAUGUUAUAAAACCAAAUAGACAUCUUUGUUGCAGUAAGCCCCCAUGAUCUGGAUGUUGUUUGCUAUCACAAUAUAACUUACUCUGUGAUGAUUGCUAUUUUAAAAAGAGUACCUACCAAAAAUUUGUAGCGCAAACCAUACUUACUAAUAAAAAAUUAACCUUACUCCCUUUAAAAUAAAAAACAACAGUGAUGCCUUUGAUUCAACAUUGUGCAGUAAGAUAAGGAAAAAUAAAAUGUAGGAAUUAUAAAAGGAAAUACUAAGCUUUGGUUAUUUGCAGGUAAUAUGAUUGUUUAUAUAGAAACUCCUCAAGAAUAUGGACAUAAUUUAACAAAACAGAGCACCUAAAAUACCAACAAAAUCAUAAUACAUCCAGGAAUAAAUCUAACAAAAUUUGUGCAAGACUUCUUUGAAAUUAUAUAUGUUAUUAAAAUACAUUAAAGUAAACGUAAAUAAAUGCAUAUAUUAUUUAUCUAUUUAUUUAUUUAUUAUUAUUAUUUUUUUUUGAGAUGAGGUCUCACUAUGUUGCCCAGGUUGGUCUCGAACUCCUGGGCUCAAGUGAUCUGUUCACCUUGGCCUCCCAAAAUGCUGGGAUUACAAGCAUGAGCCACCACACCUGGCCUUAUAUUUAUUUUGUAUACAUAUAAUAUUUGUGAUAGAAGGACACAAUAUAUUAAAAGUUUGGUCAUUCUCUUCAAAUUGCUCUAUAAAUAAAAUGCAAUUCCUUUCAAAUUCAAUCCAGAGCUGUUUGCAGAACUUGAUAAGCAGAUUCUAAAAUUUUUAUGGAAAAAUGAAGCACAAGAAUAGCUGAAACACCCCUGUAGAGGAUGAACAGGAUGAGGCGAGCUGUUUUGCCAGUUUUCAUUGCCCUGUGUAUAUAAUAAAGCUUUGAUUAAUUAAGAGAGCAUAAUAUGGCACAGGAACAUAGGAUAGACCAGUGGAUCAGCACAGAGCGUGUAGAAACAAGCCCACACAUAAAAUGAAAUCUAGUAUAUAACUGGAAUGUCACUGCGGAUCAGUAAGAAUGGGUUGCUCAAUAAAUGAUGCUAUGAUCAUUUGUUUUCUAUAUGGACAACAACAACACAAAAAAGAAUACACAAAAAUAAAUAAAAGGGAAAAAGAUUUAGAUAUGGAAACCACAAACUUAAGACUUUGGGGAAAAAUAUAGAAUAUUUCUAUGAUCUUGGAGCAGGAAAAAAAUGAUGAAAACAAGACCCGAAAAGCACAAAUAUAAAUGAAAAGAUAAGAAAGUUAACUGAGUUAAAAUUAAUAACACUUCUUAAUCAAAAGAUUCCUAAAUGCAAAGAUAAGCAAAAAGGAAAAGUCUGCCUCCCCCAAAAGCAGUGGUAAAACAUAGGAAUAAACACUUCACAGAAGAGUCAGCCCAAAUAGCUAUUAAAUAAAUGAAAAAUGUUCAACCUUUUAAAUAAUGAAGAUGUUGCAAGAUAAAACCACAAUAAGUUAAAGUUUUAUACUAAAAUGUUGGUAAGGAUGGAGAUCACUGCAAAACAAACUGUAUAUAUAUAUAUAUAUAUAUAUAUAUAUAUAUAUAUAUAUAUAUAUAUAUAUAUGCUAUGUAGCUUUCUACAACCACUCUGUAUAACAAUUUGGUCAUAGUAAAGUAAAAAUAUGCAUAUCCUAUGACCAGGAAAUCUCACACACACACACACACAAAAUGCACAUGCUUAUGUGUACACACAAUCCCUAAAAAUACCCUUGAACAGGGGCACCCAGAGAUAUGUACAAGUAUAUUCAUAGAACCAUUAUGUGUGCUUAGCUACUAUUACAACCAUUAACACGGUUGAAGCCCGCAAACAAAAAAUUAAUGAAAAAGCAAGAUGCAGGAUACACAUACUAUGGUUUAUAUAAAGAUCAAAAAAUAACAAAAGUAUACUGCAUAUGGUUGAGAAUAGCCAGGGCUGACUAUAUAAUUUUUAGGCUCAGGGCAAAAUGAAAAUGUGGGAUCCCUUUGUUCCAAAAGCAGGGGAAAAGCUUUUAUCUUUCUUUCAUGGUCUAUCUCUGUAGGAUAAUGGCCAUAGUAUCUUGAUAAUUCAUAGAAAAAAAAACUAUAUUAACUCUAAACAUUUGAAAAAGCACUCAACUUACAAAAUACACAAAGAAACCAUUUUUAACCCAUUGGAUUGACAAAUAGAAAAAAUUGAUAACACACUCUCUUACCAAGACACUCUCAAAUAGUGCUAAUGGAGAAAUGAAAGGACACAGCCAUUUUCAAUAAUAAUUUGUCAAUAUCUUUCAAAAUUUCACAUCAAAUACUCUUUGAUUCUAUGGGAACUUCUCCUAUAUGUUUGAAAUUAUACAUGUAAAAGGAUGUUAAUUGCAGCAUUUUAUAAUUCCAAAAGAUUGGAAAUACCCUAACUAGCCUAAAGCAAGAGAGAGGUCAUAUCUGGGUCUUUGGAAGGAUAAUGGAAUGAUAUGUUAUGCAACCAUUAAAAUAUUGAGGUAGGUCUGUCUGUGCUAAUAAAUGAUCAC